AUUUUCAGUGAUGAAUACAGCUCAUGAGGCCCCGCUUUCACUGUCUGUAUUCAUACUGAAAAUCAAGAUCAAGCGAGCUUUUGCCCUUCUGCUCCA